rnacentral:rRNA from 1 species
AUUGAACGCUGGCGGCAGGCUUAACACAUGCAAGUCGAACGAUGAUUUCCCAGCUUGCUGGGAAUGAUUAGUGGCGGACGGGUGAGUAACAUUUAGGAAUCUGCCUAGUAGUGGGGGAUAGCUCGGGGAAACUCGAAUUAAUACCGCAUACGACCUACGGGUGAAAGGGGGCGCAAGCUCUUGCUAUUAGAUGAGCCUAAAUCAGAUUAGCUAGUUGGUGGGGUAAAGGCCCACCAAGGCGACGAUCUGUAACUGGUCUGAGAGGAUGAUCAGUCACACCGGAACUGAGACACGGUCCGGACUCCUACGGGAGGCAGCAGUGGGGAAUAUUGGACAAUGGGGGCAACCCUGAUCCAGCCAUGCCGCGUGUGUGAAGAAGGCCUUUUGGUUGUAAAGCACUUUAAGCAGGGAGGAGAGGCUAAUGGUUAAUACCCAUUAGAUUAGACGUUACCUGCAGAAUAAGCACCGGCUAACUCUGUGCCAGCAGCCGCGGUAAUACAGAGGGUGCGAGCGUUAAUCGGAAUUACUGGGCGUAAAGCGAGUGUAGGUGGCUCAUUAAGUCACAUGUGAAAUCCCCGGGCUUAACCUGGGAACUGCAUGUGAUACUGGUGGUGCUAGAAUAUGUGAGAGGGAAGUAGAAUUCCAGGUGUAGCGGUGAAAUGCGUAGAGAUCUGGAGGAAUACCGAUGGCGAAGGCAGCUUCCUGGCAUAAUAUUGACACUGAGAUUCGAAAGCGUGGGUAGCAAACAGGAUUAGAUACCCUGGUAGUCCACGCCGUAAACGAUGUCUACUAGCCGUUGGGGUCCUUGAGACUUUAGUGGCGCAGUUAACGCGAUAAGUAGACCGCCUGGGGAGUACGGCCGCAAGGUUAAAACUCAAAUGAAUUGACGGGGGCCCGCACAAGCGGUGGAGCAUGUGGUUUAAUUCGAUGCAACGCGAAGAACCUUACCUGGUCUUGACAUAGUGAGAAUCUCUCAGAGAUGAGAGAGUGCCUUCGGGAAUUCACAUACAGGUGCUGCAUGGCUGUCGUCAGCUCGUGUCGUGAGAUGUUGGGUUAAGUCCCGCAACGAGCGCAACCCUUUUCCUUAUUUGCCAGCGGGUUAAGCCGGGAACUUUAAGGAUACUGCCAGUGACAAACUGGAGGAAGGCGGGGACGACGUCAAGUCAUCAUGGCCCUUACGACCAGGGCUACACACGUGCUACAAUGGUAGGUACAGAGGGUUGCUACACAGCGAUGUGAUGCUAAUCUCAAAAAGCCUAUCGUAGUCCGGAUUGGAGUCUGCAACUCGACUCCAUGAAGUCGGAAUCGCUAGUAAUCGUAGAUCAGAAUGCUGCGGUGAAUACGUUCCCGGGCCU